rnacentral:lncRNA from 1 species
GACAGACGGGAUCAUGUAACUACGAUGGUGGAGACACCGCCACGACGAGCAUGAAGACAUGGCAUUGCCUCGCACACGUGGCGGGUUAAUUUAACUGCUUGACUGUUUUAGUAAAUUAUUAGUACUAGUCGAGAUUGUGCUCCGCAAAUAGCUAAACUGAAAAUAUGUGUGGAGGUGUUCGUUAAGAGGAUUGCACGAUUCGUUUGGUGUCUAUCUUUGACGCAUCUGCAUUGAUCCGGUCUUCGUCAUCUAAACUGUGACAAUUGCUAUAUUAUGGUGCAUUGAUCAAGUUUGGUCUUAGCAGCACAACUUUUCCCAAUUGUCUACUUCAACAACCUUUGCCGAAUUCCGGUGAGUGAGGUACUAUGACGCCGACAUGCCUUCGGCUCACCCGACUAGUUGUAGUUGUCGCUAGUUGGUCUAGGGACCUUAAUGUUAUUUAUUUUACCUGUAGUAUUCUUUAUACUAACGUGUCAAUUUAUGAAUAGAACAGAAGUUUUCUCCAACUAGUGUAUGACAAAUAUGUGAGACUGGAGGACUUCUCUCCUAAACAGAAAAGAACGAUUUCAUAGUAUAAGCCCCAUCAAUUAAACCGAUGUAUGCUGUCAGAGUGUGGAGGCCGUACGAUAAACAAAACUAUGGCUUUUUGUAAGUUUUGGUUCCGAAUUAGACAUACAAGUUCUUUUUUAUAACACAACAAGGACUGGGUUUGGAGAAGGCAUCAGUGAAUGCACUGAGCACAAAGAGUGACUGUUCGUCUAUGUUGGUCUAUAUAUACUGAUUUAAUGUUUCGUAACCAGGGAGAUGCAUGUUCGUCUAUAUUCCUCAGUUCCUUCAUCUUUGUCCCUCAGUUCGUCUGCUCAUGGGAUGGCUUUGUGACUAUUGUACGGCUGUGGCAUAUACUGAUCUAUGAAUUUGCCAUGGAAAGGAGACAGUAAGCCACUCGGCCAAGUUGGAGUGGUGAGGAGAUACGCAUACCCUUGUCUUGGGUCAAUGCUUGAAUAGUUUAUUACUCUAUGUCAAUUUCGGUUUUCCUUUACAUAUCGUGGUAUACAAUAUAUAUGCAUAAUUUUGUUAACAACCAUGAUGACUAAUACGACCGCAAGGAAUCAACCAUGAUGGACAUUCAAUUGUAUACCCAUCAAUUGAAGUGGUAGAUAUCUUCAACCGGUUUGGAUGGCAGUCCACUAAUAGGAUAUACAAUUGAUCUUAUUUGCAGUCUUUUGUUUAUUCGUUCAAGACUUUGUGGAACCACACUCUGUUCACUUAUUUAAUAAAGGGGCCGUAUGCAUCGUUCUGGUGCAGAGACCGGAGGUAAUCCUCCUUCUCUAAAAAAAAAUUUGAAGUGGGCCUUCCCUGUCACGGGGUUAGGUCGAUUGAGCUACUUUAGCAACCAUGAUGACUAAUACGACUGCAAGGAAUCAGCCAGAUACAACUUUCAGAAUUAUAUUUUGAUGACAAACUUGCACACUGAGACGGAAUGAGAACAAUGAACGAAGAUAAUGAGAAAUUGAAUUCCACACCUAAUCAUUAGGUUGUGAAAUUAGACCACCAAGAAAGUGAUGGAAAGGACACACACAUAGUCGCCUUUUGACCGUGGUGCAGCUGCUCCAUGCAGCACUGUCGCCACAGUUCCUUCCGUAGCAGCUAGCGAGGUCGAGGGAACUAGCGGGAAGGAAUCUACUAAGGGGACAUCCUAGCUGCGUGCUGGAGCUACCGUACCCUGUGGACGUAUGUAUACGCAAGCUGCUGCAGAGAUAUCAUAGGCAGCUCCAAAUGCUAAGGUGACAAACAGCACGAGUCCUAGGCGUACAUGGCACAGAUAAUGAUGGAGGAGCAGUGGAUCAAUCUGUACUACUGUGCUUCCUGUAGACUCCCAAUCCUACAACAAUUGCACGUGAAAUGUAGUGCUGGCAAGAUUUCUCUUGAAAAUAUAACCUUUUAGCUGAUAUGUCAUACAUAGAGCUCGGCAGGUAUAUAUAGGUGAUAUCUUGCAGCACUCCUUUCUCGAUAUUUAAAGGGGGCAAACCAUGCUCUACACGCACUGCUAAGACCACUGAAACGUGGAUCACCUCUCCACCAGAUUUGCAGGCGCUCUUUUUCAUCCAUCUUGAAACAUGUCAUCACUUAUUCGGUUGAUGUACCAUCACCAUUCGCAUUUGACACAUCAUUCUGCUAUGCCGUGCCCGUGCCAGAAUGAUCUCCCCUAGCCGAGAUCAAAACAAAGCCAACCUUGAAAACAUGCGGGAGUAGUGCAUUUCCAAUAGGAUAAUGGCUAACAAUUUGAUAUUCUCCCUCAUCUCUUACAACUUUUAUAACCUCAAAAUGGUCUGGUUUCUUUGAGGAGCCGUCUUCACAUGAUGAGAUUCAUGCAGUUAUUAAGAAGCUCCCCUCCAAUCAAUUUCUUCGGCCUAAUUUUAUCAACAUUGAUUUUUAUUAAUACUUCGCAAUCAUAAAAAAAGGUUUUUCUAGCCUAUAUGAUGAGUUCUUUAAGGGGGGUAUAAGCCUUUAAAGUAUUCAUAGGCCCUUACCAUCCCUAAUACCUAAAAGAGCAAGAAGAGUAUGAUUGUUGGGUCGCCAUAUGAGAAGUUCCCGAUUAAAAUGCCCAUCAACAUUAGGCAGAUCUUAUCCCACAUUACAUCCACCCUGAUCAUUCUUGGAGGAACCAUUGCCUGAUUGAUCUCUAGCGCAACAUAGUGUUCGAGGCCACGCUCUCUGAGAAUCAUGCAAUCAGCUGCCAUUGGUUAUCGUGCAAGGAUAUCUCGAUGUGCGUCAUUGUCUCCUCCGAUGCGGCCGAGGCAGAAAGGUUACACGUAGACAACGAUUCAAUAUCCGACUCCUCAUGGUUGACACCCAUCUUUUCCCCCUUCUCGUGGUUCCUCUUGUCACCCAGCUCAACUCUAAGACAUGAUGACAUUGAGGCACGGUUGGCAACAUGGAGUAAUGAUCUGCCAUCGUGCAAUUUUAGAAUGUGGCGCACCAGGGCGCCCAAGCUAAGAUCAUUGGGGACGAGCGCAGAUUCAGGUACGCCAAGCUUGGCAACGAGUGGCAGAGCAGAACAAAUCAGGCAUUAACUCGGCUGCCAGAGCAGAGGACGGGGUAAAAAUGUAUGAGAAAAUGGUGGAUGAGUUAUAAAGCCACGUUCUCCAUAUGAAGGCUCGAAGACACGAAGACAUGAGCCACACAGAUGGGAUCAUGUAACUACGAUGGUGGAGACACCGCCAUGGUGAGCAUGGAGACAUGGCAUUGCCUGGCACACGCCGCGGGUUAAUUUAACUGCUUGACUAUUUUAGUAAACUAUUAGUACUAGUUGAGAUUGUGCUCCGCAGAUAGCUAAACUGAAACUAUGUGUGGAUGUGUUCCUUAAGCGGAUUUCACGAUUCGUUUAGUGUUUAUCUUUGACGCAUCUGCAUUGAUCCGGUCUUCAUUCAUCUAAACCGUGACAAUUGCUAUUAUGGUGUGCUGAUCAAGUGUGGUCUUAGCAGCACAACUUUCCCAAUUGUCUACUUCAACAACCUUUUCCCAAUUCCGGUGAGUGAGAUACGAUGACGCCGACAUGCCUUCGGCUCACCCGA